rnacentral:rRNA from 1 species
UACGGAGGGUGCAAGCGUUAUCCGGAUUCACUGGGCUUAAAGGGUGCGUAGGUGGCGUGGUAAGUCAGUGGUGAAAUCUCCAAGCUUAACUUGGAAACUGCCGUUGAUACUAUCAUUCUUGAAUAUCGUGGAGGUAAGCGGAAUAUGUCAUGUAGCGGUGAAAUGCUUAGAUAUGACAUAGAACACCGAUUGCGAAGGCAGCUUGCUACACGAUCAUUGACACUGAGGCACGAAAGCGUGGGGAUCAAACAGG